GAUGAACGCUGGCGGCGUGCCUAAUACAUGCAAGUCGAGCGAACAGAUAAGGAGCUUGCUCCUUUGACGUUAGCGGCGGACGGGUGAGUAACACGUGGGUAACCUACCUAUAAGACUGGGAUAACUUCGGGAAACCGGAGCUAAUACCGGAUAACAUUUGGAACCGCAUGGUUCUAAAGUGAAAGAUGGUUUUGCUAUCACUUAUAGAUGGACCCGCGCCGUAUUAGCUAGUUGGUAGGUAACGGCUUACCAAGGCAACGAUACGUAGCCGACCUGAGAGGGUGAUCGGCCACACUGGAACUGAGACACGGUCCAGACUCCUACGGGAGGCAGCAGUAGGGAAUCUUCCGCAAUGGGCGAAAGCCUGACGGAGCAACGCCGCGUGAGUGAUGAAGGGUUUCGGCUCGUAAAACUCUGUUAUUAGGGAAGAACAAAUGUGUAAGUAACUGUGCACGUCUUGACGGUACCUAAUCAGAAAGCCACGGCUAACUACGUG
rnacentral:rRNA from 1 species